GGGUUGUGAGGUUAAGCGACUAAGCGUACACGGUGGAUGCCUAGGCAAUCAGAGGCGAUGAAGGACGUGCUAAUCUGCGAAAAGCGUCGGUAAGGUGAUAUGAACCGCUAUAGCCGACGAUGUCCGAAUGGGGAAACCCAGUGCAAUUCGUUGCACUAUCGUUUGAUGAAUCCAUAGUCAAACGAGGCGAACCGAGGGAACUGAAACAUCUCAGUACCUCGAGGAAAAGAAAUCAACCGAGAUUCCCCUAGUAGCGGCGAGCGAACGGGGAGCAGCCCAGAGUCUUAAUCAGCAUCAGCAUCAGGAGAACGGUCUGGAAAGUCCGGCAGUAAAGGGUGAUAGCCCCGUAUCCGAAGGUGUUGGUGUUGUGAACUCGACGAGUAGGGCGGGACACGUGUUAUCCUGUCUGAAUAUGGGGGGACCAUCCUCCAAGGCUAAAUACUCCUGAUUGACCGAUAGUGAACCAGUACCGUGAGGGAAAGGCGAAAAGAACCCCGGCGAGGGGAGUGAAAUAGAACCUGAAACCGUGUACGUACAAGCAGUGGGAGCACCUUUUAGGUGUGACUGCGUACCUUUUGUAUAAUGGGUCAGCGACUUAUAUUCUGUAGCAAGGUUAACCGUAUAGGGGAGCCGUAGGGAAACCGAGUCUUAACUGGGCGAUUAAGUUGCAGGGUAUAGACCCGAAACCCGGUGAUCUAGCCAUGGGCAGGUUGAAGGUUGGGUAACACUAACUGGAGGACCGAACCGACUAAUGUUGAAAAAUUAGCGGAUGACUUGUGGCUGGGGGUGAAAGGCCAAUCAAACCGGGAGAUAGCUGGUUCUCCCCGAAAGCUAUUUAGGUAGCGCCUCGUGAACUCAUCUUCGGGGGUAGAGCACUGUUUCGGCUAGGGGGUCAUCCCGACUUACCAACCCGAUGCAAACUACGAAUACCGAAGAAUGUUAUCACGGGAGACACACGGCGGGUGCUAACGUUCGUCGUGAAGAGGGAAACAACCCAGACCGCCAGCUAAGGUCCCAAAGUCAUGGUUAAGUGGGAAACGAAGUGGGAAGGCUCAGACAGCCAGGAUGUUGGCUUAGAAGCAGCCAUCAUUUAAAGAAAGCGUAAUAGCUCACUGGUCGAGUCGGCCUGCGCGGAAGAUGUAACGGGGCUAAACCAUGCACCGAAGCUGCGGCAGCGACAUGUAAAUGUUGUUGGGUAGGGGAGCGUUCUGUAAGCCUGUGAAGGUGUGCUGCGAGGCAUGCUGGAGGUAUCAGAAGUGCGAAUGCUGACAUAAGUAACGAUAAUGCGGGUGAAAAACCCGCACGCCGGAAGACCAAGGGUUCCUGUCCAACGUUAAUCGGGGCAGGGUGAGUCGACCCCUAAGGCGAGGCAGAAAUGCGUAGUCGAUGGGAAACAGGUUAAUAUUCCUGUACUGGUGAUAAUUGCGAUGGGGGGACGGAGAAGGCUAGGCUGGCCGGGCGACGGUUGUCCCGGUUUAAGGAUGUAGGCAGGUGAAUUAGGCAAAUCCGGUUCACUACAUGCUGAGGUCUGAUGACGAGUCACUACGGUGGCGAAGUAGCUCAUGCCCCGCUUCCAGGAAAAGCCUCUAAGCUCUAGAUUAUCAUUAAUCGUACCCCAAACCGACACAGGUGGUCAGGUAGAGAAUACUCAGGCGCUUGAGAGAACUCGGGUGAAGGAACUAGGCAAAAUGGUGCCGUAACUUCGGGAGAAGGCACGCUGGCGCUAGGUGAAGUCCCUCGCGGAUGGAGCUGAAGCCAGUCGCAGAUACCAGCUGGCUGCAACUGUUUAUUAAAAACACAGCACUGUGCAAACACGAAAGUGGACGUAUACGGUGUGACGCCUGCCCGGUGCUGGAAGGUUAAUUGAUGGGGUUAUCCGUAAGGAGAAGCUCUUGAUCGAAGCCCCAGUAAACGGCGGCCGUAACUAUAACGGUCCUAAGGUAGCGAAAUUCCUUGUCGGGUAAGUUCCGACCUGCACGAAUGGCGUAAUGAUGGCCAGGCUGUCUCCACCCGAGACUCAGUGAAAUUGAACUCGCUGUGAAGAUGCAGUGUACCCGCGGCAAGACGGAAAGACCCCGUGAACCUUUACUAUAGCUUGACACUGAACAUUGAGCCUUGAUGUGUAGGAUAGGUGGGAGGCUUUGAAGUGUGGACGCCAGUCUGCAUGGAGCCAACCUUGAAAUACCACCCUUUAAUGUUUGAUGUUCUAACGUGGCCCCAUCAUCUGGGGUGCGGACAGUGUCUGGUGGGUAGUUUGACUGGGGCGGUCUCCUCCCAAAGAGUAACGGAGGAGCACGAAGGUUGGCUAAGCAUGGUCGGACAUCAUGCGGUUAGUGCAAAGGCAUAAGCCAGCUUGACUGCGAGAGUGACGGCUCGAGCAGGUACGAAAGUAGGUCUUAGUGAUCCGGUGGUUCUGAAUGGAAGGGCCAUCGCUCAACGGAUAAAAGGUACUCCGGGGAUAACAGGCUGAUACCGCCCAAGAGUUCAUAUCGACGGCGGUGUUUGGCACCUCGAUGUCGGCUCAUCACAUCCUGGGGCUGAAGUAGGUCCCAAGGGUAUGGCUGUUCGCCAUUUAAAGUGGUACGCGAGCUGGGUUUAGAACGUCGUGAGACAGUUCGGUCCCUAUCUGCCGUGGGCGUUGGAAGAUUGAAAGGGGCUGCUCCUAGUACGAGAGGACCGGAGUGGACGCACCACUGGUGUUCGGGUUGUCAUGCCAAUGGCACUGCCCGGUAGCUAAGUGCGGAAGAGAUAACCGCUGAAAGCAUCUAAGCGGGAAACUUGCCUUGAGAUGAGUCUUCCCUGACUCUUUAAGGGUCCUAAAGGAACGUUUAAGACUAAGACGUUGAUAGGCUGGGUGUGUAAGCGUAGCGAUACGUUGAGCUAACCAGUACUAAUGAACCGUGAGGCUUAACCUGACAACACCGAAGGUGUUUUAG
rnacentral:rRNA from 1 species